GAUGCGAUCAUACCAGCACUAAAGCACCGGAUCCCAUCAGAACUCCGAAGUUAAGCGUGCUUGGGCGAGAGUAGUACUAGGAUGGGUGACCUCCUGGGAAGUCCUCGUGUUGCAUCCG
rnacentral:rRNA from 1 species